rnacentral:rRNA from 1 species
GACGAACGCUGGCGGCGUGCUUAACACAUGCAAGUCGAGCGAUGAAGUUCCUUCGGGAAUGGAUUAGCGGCGGACGGGUGAGUAACACGUGGGUAACCUGCCUCAUAGAGGGGAAUAGCCUUCCGAAAGGAAGAUUAAUACCGCAUAAGAUUGUAGUACCGCAUGGUAUAGCAAUUAAAGGAGUAAUUCGCUAUGAGAUGGACCCGCGUCGCAUUAGCUAGUUGGUGAGGUAACGGCUCACCAAGGCGACGAUGCGUAGCCGACCUGAGAGGGUGAUCGGCCACAUUGGGACUGAGACACGGCCCAGACUCCUACGGGAGGCAGCAGAGGGGAAUAUUGCACAAUGGGGGAAACCCUGAUGCAGCAACGCCGCGUGAGUGAUGACGGUCUUCGGAUUGUAAAGCUCUGUCUUCAGGGACGAUAAUGACGGUACCUGAGGAGGAAGCCACGGCUAACUACGUGCCAGCAGCAGCCGCCG